AGCCAGCUGAAAUCUGCAGACAGCCAGAUGGGAGAUCCGCCAGACAGGGUAAUCCCACUCUCAAGAAAAAAAAAAAAAAGAAAACAUUGGCAUUACCAGGUGCAGCUUUAAGGAGGUGCCAGUCUUCCUCAGCUGAAGUAAUUGAACAGAACUUGAGGAAUUAAAAACACCUUACCCAGCUCAGAGUGCUGAACUUCCAGCAGGAAUACAGCAUCAGGCUGCUGUUUUCCAGAACACCAUCACUGCCCCACCUCCUUUCCUGAGAGCUUUCUGUGGCAGCUAUUUCAGCAGGCCGAAAGUGCUGCAGAGCCAGGAGGGCAGCUGUUCAUCUGGUGUACAUUCCCAGCACAACGGCUCCAGCAGGAACAUUCACACCUCCAGCCAACGCGACUGGCAUCGCUGCUGCCAGCAGGAUCUGGGAGAUUUCCGCUCUUUCGUACACCUAUCAUAUGACAACGCUUGAAUCGUGUAGGUUUGUCAUUUCAGGAGACAAUUCAACAUCUCUGGAGUGUGUUCUCAAAGCUCAAAAAGAAUAUAAACAAAGGAAAUGA